GUGGGGAAUAUUGGACAAUGGGGGGAACCCUGAUCCAGCCAUGCCGCGUGUGUGAAGAAGGCCUUUUGGUUGUAAAGCACUUUAAGCGAGGAGGAGGCUACCGAGAUUAAUACUCUUGGAUAGUGGACGUUACUCGCAGAAUAAGCACCGGCUAACUCUGUGCCAGCAGCCGCGGUAAUACAGAGGGUGCAAGCGUUAAUCGGAUUUACUGGGCGUAAAGCGCGCGUAGGUGGCCAAUUAAGUCAAAUGUGAAAUCCCCGAGCUUAACUUGGGAAUUGCAUUCGAUACUGGGUGGCUAGAGUAUGGGAGAGGAUGGUAGAAUUCCAGGUGUAGCGGUGAAAUGCGUAGAGAUCUGGAGGAAUACCGAUGGCGAAGGCAGCCAUCUGGCCUAAUACUGACACUGAGGUGCGAAAGCAUGGGGAGCAAACAGGAUUAGAAACCCGUGUAGUCC
rnacentral:rRNA from 1 species